rnacentral:tRNA from 1 species
UGGUAGAGCAGUUGACUUUUAAUCAAUUGGUCGCAGGUUCGAAUCCUGCACGACCCACCA